rnacentral:rRNA from 1 species
AUUGAACGCUGGCGGCAGGCCUAACACAUGCAAGUCGAGCGAGCGGCGGACGGGUGAGUAAUGUAUGGGGACUGCCCGUUAGAGGGGGAGAACUAAGGGAAACGGUAGAUAAUAACGCAUACUAUCGGAUAACCUAUAUGGGAUUAGCUAGUAGGUGAGGUAAUGGCUCACCUAGGCGACGAUCCCUAGCUGGUCUGAGAGGAUGAUCAGCCACACUGGGACUGAGACACGGCCCAGACUCCUACGGAGGCAGCAGUGGGGAAUAUUGGACAAUGGGCGCAAGCCUGAUGCAGCCAUGCCGCGUGUAUGAAGAAGGCCCUAGGGUUGUAAAGUACUUUCAGUCGGGAGGCGUUACCGACAGAAGAAGCACCGGCUAACUCCGUGCCAGCAGCCGCGGUAAUUC